rnacentral:rRNA from 1 species
UACGGAGGGUGCAAGCGUUGUUCGGAAUCAUUGGGCGUAAAGCGCGCGCAGGCGGCUUUCUAAGUCCAGAGGUGAAAUGCCGGGGCUCAACCCCGCGCGUGCCUCGGAUACUGGGAGGCUGGAGACAGGUAGAGGCGAGCGGAAUUCCGGGUGUAGCGGUGGAAUGCGCAGAUAUCAGGAGGAACACCGGUGGCGAAGGCGGGAUCCUGGGCCAGUACUGACGCUGAGGAGCGAAAGCGUGGGGAGCAAACAGG